rnacentral:rRNA from 1 species
GAUGAACGCUGGCGGCGUGCCUAAUACAUGCAAGUCGAGCGAACAGACGAGGAGCUUGCUCCUCUGACGUUAGCGGCGGACGGGUGAGUAACACGUGGAUAACCUACCUAUAAGACUGGGAUAACUUCGGGAAACCGGAGCUAAUACCGGAUAAUAUAUUGAACCGCAUGGUUCAAUAGUGAAAGACGGUUUUGCUGUCACUUAUAGAUGGAUCCGCGCCGCAUUAGCUAGUUGGUAAGGUAACGGCUUACCAAGGCAACGAGGCGUAGGCGACGUGAGAGGGUGAUCGGCCACAUUGGAACUGAGACGCGGUCCAGACUCCUACGGGAGGCAGCAGUAGGGAAUCUUCCGCAAUGGUCGAAAGCCUGACGGAGCAACGCCGCGUGAGUGAUGAAGGUCUUCGGAUCGUAAAACUCUGUUAUUAGGUAAGAACAAAUGUGUAAGUAACUAUGCACGUCUUGACGGUACCUAAUCAGAAAGCCACGGCUAACUACGUG